rnacentral:snoRNA from 15 species
AGCCUCAUUCCUUGAGCAUGGGCACAGUUUAUCAUGGUGUCCAAAAUUGAUAAAUGUGGCUAAAUUGAGACAGGUUAUGCUUCCAUCACAGUAAAUUUAUUGCAGUGGUGACAAUGAGACCUGUAACAUUU